rnacentral:rRNA from 1 species
UAACGUAAGUGGAUAUGGACGAAGCAGAAGUGAGAAUGUCGGCUUGAGUAACGAAAAUAUAGGUGAGAAUCCUAUACCCCGAAAACCCAAGGUUUCCUCCGGAAGGCUCGUCCGCGGAGGGUAAGUCAGGACCUAAGGCGAGGCUGAAAAGCGUAGUCGAUGGAUAACGGGUUAAUAUUCCCGUACCAUUAUUUAUUGAUAACGAGGGACGGAGAAGGCUAAGCUGGCCGGAUAUUGGUUACCGGUUUAAACGUUCGAGGUGUUGAGAAACGGAGAAAACGUUUUGAGCUAAGACGUGAAUACGAGAUGCUACGGCAUUGAAGCAGUGUAUGUCAGACUUCCAAGAAAAGCUCGCAAUGUCUUAAAUAAAUAAUGCCUGUACCAUAACCGACACAGGUGGGUAGGUAGAGUAUACUAAGGGGCGCGAGAUAACUCUCUCUAAGGAACUCGGCAAAAUGACUCCGUAACUUCGGGAGAAGGAGUGCCUUAUUUAUAAGGUUGCAAUAACAAGAUCCAAGCAACUGUUUACCAAAAACACAGGUCUCCGCUAAGUCGUAAGACGAUGUAGUGGGGGCUGACGCCUGCCCAGUGCCAGAAGGUUAAAGAAGUUGGUUAGCAUUCGCGAAGCUGAUAACUGAAGCCCUGGUGAACGGCGGCCGUAACAAUAACGGUCCUAAGGUAGCGAAAUUCCUUGUCGGGUAAGUUCCGACCCGCACGAAAGGCGUAAUGUAUUUGGAUACUGUCUCGGAGAGGGGCUCGGUGAAAUAGACUUGUCUGUGAAGAUGCGGACUACCUGCACCUGGACAGAAAGACCCUAUGAAGCUUUACUGUAACUUGAAAUUGAAAUUGGACUUUAUUUGCGCAGUAUAGGUGGGAGGCGUUGAGUUAAUUCUUGCGGGAAUUUAGGAGCCAUCAGUGAGAUACCACUCUGGUAAUGUUAGAUUUCUAACUUUGUAUCAUAAUCUGGUCAAAGAACAGUUUCAGGCGGGCAGUUUGACUGGGGCGGUCGCCUCCCAAAUGGUAACGGAGGCGUACAAAGGUUUCCUCUGAACGUGUAGAAAUCGUAUCUAGAGUGUAAAGGCAUAAGGAAGCUUGACUGUGAGACUUACAAGUCGAGCAGGGACGAAAGUCGGUCUUAGUGAUCUGACGGUGCUGAGUGGAAAGGCCGUCACUCAACGGAUAAAAGUUACUCUAGGGAUAACAGGCUGAUCCUCCCCCAAGAGUUCACAUCGACGGGAGGUUUGGCACCUCGAUGUCGGCUCAUCGCAUCCGUGGGGCGGUAGUACGUCCCAAGGGUUGGGCUGUUCGCCCAUGAAAGCGGUACGCGAGCGUGGUUCAGAACGUCGUGAGACAGUUCGGUCCAUAUCCGGUGUAGGCGUUAGAAUAUUGAGAGGAGCCUUCUUUAGUACGAGAGGACCGAGAAGGACAUACCUCUGGUGUACCAGUUAUCAUGCCAAUG